rnacentral:rRNA from 1 species
GCCCCACCCACCUAGAGGAGCCUGUUCUAUAAUCGAUAACCCCCGCUUAACCUCACCACUUCUUGCCAAUACCGCCUAUAUACCACCGUCGCCAGCCCACCCCGUGAGGGAAAUAGUAGGCACAAUGAUAAGUCACCAAAACGUCAGGUCAAGGUGUAGCGUAUGAAGUGGAAAGAAAUGGGCUACAUUCUCUAACCUAGAGCACACGAAAAAUCAUAUGAAAUUAGAUUAGAAGGAGGAUUUAGUAGUAAAAAGAAACAAUAGUGUUCUUUUUAAGUUGGCCCUGGAGCGCGCACACACCGCCCGUCACCCUCUUCAACUAAUAAAACACGAUUUAUAAAACACAAAACAAACACAAGAAGAGGUAAGUCGUAACAUGGUAAGUAUACCGGAAGGUGUGCUUGGAAUUA